rnacentral:rRNA from 1 species
CCUACGGGUGGCAGCAGUGAGGAAUAUUGGUCAAUGGGCGGAAGCCUGAACCAGCCAAGUCGCGUGCGGGACGACGGCCCUACGGAUUGUAAACCGCUUUUAUCCGGGAAUAAAGCCCCCUACGGGUGGGCCUUUGCGUGUACCCUAUGAAUAAGCAUCGGCUAAAUCCGUGCCAGCAGCCGCGGUACUAGGGAGGAUGCGGGCGUUAUCCGGAUUUAUUGGGUUUAAAGGGUGCGUAGGCGGAAGGUCAAGUGGGCGGUAAAAAUGCGGUGCUCAACGCCGUACAGCCGUUGAAACUGGCAGUCUUGAGUGGGCGAGAAGUAUGCGGAAUGCGUGGUGUAGCGGUGAAAUGCAUAGAUAUCACGCAGAACCCCGAUUGCGAAGGCAGCAUGCUGGCGCCCGACUGACGCUGAGGCACGAAAGCGCGGGUAUCGAACAGGAUUAGAUACCCUAGUAGUC